AAGUCGUAACAAGGUUUCCGUAGGUGAACCUGCGGAAGGAUCAUUACCGAGUUCUUGUAAUGAGGUUGUAGCUGGCCUUUUACCGGGCAUGUGCUCGCCUUGUUCAAAUCCACUCUACACCUGUGCACUUACUGUGGGUUCCGGUUAGAAGGGUCUUGUAUAAGGCCUUUCGAGCAGGGCUCACGUUUUAUUACAAACGCUUCAGUAUCAGAAUGUUUAUUGCGAUAUAACGCAUCUUUAUACAACUUUCAGCAACGGAUCUCUUGGCUCUC
rnacentral:misc_RNA from 1 species